GGAUUCAUAGCUCAGUCGGUCAGAGCAGUUGACUCAUAAUCAAUUGGUCGGGGGUUCAAGUCCCUCUGAAUCCA
rnacentral:tRNA from 1 species